AGCUCUAGGAAUGUUAAGGGAAAGCCAGGUAAUUUUUUUCAAAAAUGUCUCAUUGAAAUAUAUUCUUUACAAAUUCCACUAACAGCCACACUAUACACCAAGCUCGCUCAAACUUAUCUCCUCAAAACCAUUAACACAAGUCCAAAUUUCCGGUGGUUAAAAAUCUUGACAGGAAUCCGCUGGGAACGUAGACUCUACUGAUUGUCAACUGGUGACAAAUAGCAGUCAAUGCUGCAUUCAAGAUAAUGGUCCGCGCAGGUUUACUCAAUAGGGUGGUCGCCUCUUAAGAACGAUCCAGUUUCAAUUUGUAGGAGUUAAACAAAUAUCUACUCAAGUGCUACUCUUGGAGAGAAAACAUGGACUGAAACGUGCCUCAAAAUAAAUUUGAUAAUGCGAACGUACUGUUCAGGGAGGUCACAUUCAACACAAGUACAAACCGGAGAAGAAACAUCUUCAGAACUUUGCGCAAGUGUUCAUUCGUUGUUCUUCCCCUUACGAAAGGAAACCUUGAACACACGCAAAAACUGCCUGCUCUACUGGUUCACCAUUCGAGUUUUCGAAAAUAAAAGGAGAUACGACCACCUCGAGGCGAGUCACUGAGACUGUAGAAUUGGAGGAUCUAUCUAAACAGAGGGCAUAGCGAGUUAGGGUCGCAGCAAAGAACUUAAAGUGUUAGCCGAGCUUGCAUUCGACGAUAGGUUCUUCAACUUGGGGUAAGCUGAAGCAUGUUAAUGGUGGAAAAAAAAAAAGCACAACCUUUACUCUUGCGUUUCGUAGCUGAAAUUAUAAUCAAACAAAAUGUUUUCUGUAAUAUGUUGUUGUCGCUUGUGUGAGACUGUUUUAGUAGUUGUGACGAAGAUGAAAAUGAUCGAAUGAACGACAGGCUUUUGCACAGAGCAUAAGUUGGUUGAUAGUUGUGGUGAGAGAGACCUUUUUUCUUUCGGCGUGCCUUCGUUCGCACUGUUUCGAGAUUAAGACGAUGAGAAAGACAAAGUUCUCCAUUAAGUUUAGACUGCUUUUUUUGGUAAUUGAAGGUAGAAGCUGCCAUUAUAGUUUACUCUUUCCUUUCGUUAAAUUCAUUUGCCCAAAUACGCAAGAUGACAAGACAUGUUCGGAAAAAGUUUUAAUUUCGUCUCGAACUCUGUCAAGUAAUACAUGCACAAGUAGAACGUUUUGAGCUUUCUUUAAGUGCAUUGCGUUCACGACUGGGGGAAUCGAUAUUUCACGGCAAAAGUACCUGAUUUUGAUAAGUUUCUGGAAACAGGAAUCAGGAAGGAAUUUUAUAGAGCGAAUUGUGAACAUGUAUGAGCUUCUGAAGCAGAGCAAUUGCUCACUUCAGCAGACCAGUUUGCUUGUGCUGAACUUUAAGAUUUUCACAGCUCUCAUAGUUCGUUAUCUAGUCUUUGUUUCAGGCUCUAACUUCGAUUUGACUUCUUCGUGGUAACAAGCUCGCUUCGACAAGGCAGAGGUAGCAAUAAAUAAAAAAAUAUUCCGAAGAUAUAGGAAUAUCGGCAGACUACAGCUACAAUCAUGAAGGCGGCAUUGCCUAGACUAACCCUGGAUAUGUUUCAGUUGCCGAGGUUUCUACGCAGAAGUCCUCCACAAAACACCAGCAUUUCAGCCGAUGAAGGGUGGCACACUGAGGAACACGAACACUAUACAGCAAGGGUACUGAACUUCCACAAUACAGUCCCCAUAUUACAGCAGAAAGCAUUUAUAUCAGUUGUGCAUUAAGGUUUUCAGAAAUCAGCAGCGCAAAUGCCCAUGAACGAGAAAUCUUUAUAAAACAAUACCUAACUAGCUAAUCGCUUCUAGUACACUAUUCUUCUAAGAUUAGUUACCUUCAUUAAAAUUUAUUCCCCUAGUAAAACUAUUUUGGCGCAAACAUCGGGGAACCAACACAACGAACAAUUGUUAGAAAGAUGUUUACUUUUUCGUUAUGGAAGCUGAGUUAACCUACUUUCGCACCUUAAGGGACAUCCUUGACGUAUUCAGUACUUUAUCUAUAAUAGAAAUUCACCGUUAAUCAAAACAUUAGCAGCUCUGCGUGUUUGUACGUUAAGGGAAUAAAAGCGAAGGCGACAUUGUUGGGUGUUGAUAACGGACACGUCAGCACGUUCUACACCAAAUUAGGAAUGGACUUUGAAAUACGAUUAAAGAACUUCAGCUGUGUAACAACAACACAGCGUUGUGCGAUCAAAUUGAAGAGCAAUCUUCUUUUGAUGGAGCCAAGAACUUCGUUCUACUCCCGCUUACAUUUUAUUUCGCAGGAAGCAUUAUCGUGAUUAUUUCAGAUCUAAAAAAAAUCUGGAAAAUGUCAGGUAAUCUUAUCACAAUUAGGGAAUUAAUACAAUAUCAGUAGUUCUGAAAAACAAAGGUAUUGAAUUAUUAUCCCAAUAUCACAAGGGGAGUAAUAGCCAUAUAACAGUGACAAAAGGUCUCAGACAAUACGCAAUUCUGGCUGAAAAAGGAUGCUGAUAGCUUCAAAGAGAGAAGGGUAAAUAUUUAGCAUAUUUUAAACGGAUUAUCAAAAAAAAAUUCUUCAGUGAAUCUCCUGGGCUAAUCAGCGUGUACUUUUGAGUAACAUUUUUUUAAGGGAUGUUAUUUAGGGGGGUAGAGAGAGGCUUCAGUUAUUGUCAGGAACCAGAAAAUGUGCUCUGAGAGACAAUACAACAUUGAAAAGCGGCAAAUUGAUCCAAAAAGAGUUUCAUUUGCCAUCUCGGAGUUAAUACGGGGCCACUUUUUGUAUCUAAAGCGGAGGAAUUUCUGCAUUGUAAAACUCCCUGUUUACAUUUGGGUACCACAAAAGCAAUAAAGACGACAUCGCAAGUUCUCAGAAUAAAAAGAACAGUAAACUUGAA
rnacentral:lncRNA from 1 species